rnacentral:rRNA from 1 species
GAGCCAAGAAAAGUUUCUAAGUUUAGCUAAUGUUGCCCGUACCGUAAACCGACACAGGUGGGUGGGAUGAGUAUUCUAAGGCGCGUGGAAGAACUCUCUUUAAGGAACUCUGCAAAAUAGCACCGUAUCUUCGGUAUAAGGUGUGGUUAGCUUCGUACUAGGAUUUACUCCGAAAGCGAAGAAACUUACAACAAAGAGUCCCUCCCGACUGUUUACCAAAAACACAGCACUCUGCUAACUCGUAAGAGGAUGUAUAGGGUGUGACGCCUGCCCGGUGCUCGAAGGUUAAUUGAUGGGGUUAGCAUUAGCGAAGCUCUUGAUCGAAGCCCGAGUAAACGGCGGCCGUAACUAUAACGGUCCUAAGGUAGCGAAAUUCCUUGUCGGUUAAAUACCGACCUGCAUGAAUGGCGUAACGAGAUGGGAGCUGUCUCAAAGAGGGAUCCAGUGAAAUUGUAGUGGAGGUGAAAAUUCCUCCUACCCGCGGCAAGACGGAAAGACCCCGUGGACCUUUACUACAGCUUGACACUGCUACUUGGAUAAGAAUGUGCAGGAUAGGUGGGAGGCUUUGAGUAUAUGACGCCAGUUGUAUAUGAGCCAUUGUUGAGAUACCACUCUUUCUUAUUUGGGUAGCUAACCAGCUUGAGUUAUCCUCAAGUGGGACAAUGUCUGGUGGGUAGUUUGACUGGGGCGGUCGCCUCCCAAAUAAUAACGGAGGCUUACAAAGGUUGGCUCAGAACGGUUGGAAAUCGUUCGUAGAGUAUAAAGGUAUAAGCCAGCUUAACUGCAAGACAUACAAGUCAAGCAGAGACGAAAGUCGGUCUUAGUGAUCCGGUGGUUCUGUGUGGAAGGGCCAUCGCUCAAAGGAUAAAAGGUACCCCGGGGAUAACAGGCUGAUCUCCCCCAAGAGCUCACAUCGACGGGGAGGUUUGGCACCUCGAUGUCGGCUCAUCGCAUCCUGGGGCUGGAGCAGGUCCCAAGGGUAUGGCUGUUCGCCAUUUAAAGCGGUACGCGAGCUGGGUUCAGAACGUCGUGAGACAGUUCGGUCCCUAUCUGCCGUGGGCGUAAGAAGAUUGAAGAGAUUUGACCCUAGUACGAGAGGACCGGGUUGAACAAACCACUGGUGUAGCUGUUGUUCUGCCAAGAGCAUCGCAGCGUAGCUAAGUUUGGAAAGGAUAAACGCUGAAAGCAUCUAAGCGUGAAGCCAACUCUAAGAUGAAUCUUCUCUAAGCUCUCUAGAAGACUACUAGUUUGAUAGGCUGGGUGUGUAAUGGAUGAAAGUCCUUUAGCUGACCAGUACUAAUAGAGCGUUUGGCUUAUCUUUAAUAAAGCAU